rnacentral:rRNA from 1 species
AAGACGGUCCUAUGGAUUGUAAACCUCUUUUGUCGGGGAGCAAAGCGCGGUACGAGUACCGCGAAGAAGAGUACCCGAAGAAAAAGCAUCGGCUAACUCCGUGCCAGCAGCGGCGGUAAUACGGAGGAUGCGAGCGUUAUCCGGAUUUAUUGGGUUUAAAGGGUGCGUAGGCGGAUUUGUAAGUCAGCGGUAAAAAUGCGGUGCUCAACGCCGUAUCGCCGUUGAAACUGCAGGUCUUGAGUGAGCGAGAAGUAUGCGGAAUGCGUGGUGUAGCGGUGAAAUGCAUAGAUAUCACGCAGAACUCCGAUUGUGAAGGCAGCAUACCGGCGCUCAACUGACGCUGAGGCACGAAAGCGUGGGGACCGAACAGGAUUAGAUACCCUGGUAGUCCACGCAGUAAACGAUGAAUGCUAACUGUCCGGUCCGCUUAAGGGCUGGGUGGUACAGC